UACGUAGGGUGCAAGCGUUGUCCGGAAUUAUUGGGCGUAAAGAGCUCGUAGGCGGUGUGUCGCGUCGGCCGUGAAAACCUGCAGCUUAACUGUGGGCUUGCGGUGGAUACGGGCAGACUUGAGUUCGGUAGGGGAGACUGGAAUUCCUGGUGUAGCGGUGAAAUGCGCAGAUAUCAGGAGGAACACCGGUGGCGAAGGCGGGUCUCUGGGCCGUAACUGACGCUGAGGAGCGAAAGCAUGGGGAGCGAACAGG
rnacentral:rRNA from 1 species